rnacentral:ribozyme from 1 species
UUAAUUUAAACUUUUUUUCCCUCUUCGACUUCGACCUUUCAUUUAAAUUUAUUGAGUGUGAUCGAAUGGGAAGGAAUAUGAGGGAAAUAGCUUAGCUAGUUAGCCGUUAGUUAGCC